rnacentral:rRNA from 1 species
CCUACGGGUGGCUGCAGUAAGGAAUAUUGGUCAAUGGAGGAAACUCUGAACCAGCCAUCCCGCGUGAAGGAUGAAGGGGCUCUGCCUUGUAACUUCUUUUGUCUGGGGCGAAAAAGCUCGAUUUAUCGAGAACUGACGGUACCAGAAGAAUAAGCACCGGCUAACUCCGUGCCAGCAGCCGCGGUAAUCCGGAGGGUGCAAGCGUUAUCCGGAAUCACUGGGUUUGAAGGCGGCGUAGGCGGCUUAGUGUGAAAGGCUGGGGCGUAACCAUGGAAGUGCCAUUGAUACUGCAGAGCUUGAAUGAGGUUGAGGUUGGCGGAAUGUGACAUGUAGCGGUGAAAUGCUUAGAUAUGUCAUGGAACACCGAUUGCGAAGGCAGCUGACUGGACCGAUAUUGACGCUGAGGCACGAAAGCGUGGGGAGCGAACAGGAUUAGAUACCCCGGUAGUC